rnacentral:rRNA from 1 species
UACGUAGGGAGCAAGCGUUGUCCGGAAUCAUUGGGCGUAAAGCGCGCGUAGGUGGCCCAGUAAGUCCGUUCUGAAAGUCACAGGCUCAACCUGUGAAAGCGGAUGGAUACUGCGUGGGCUAGAGUCCGGAAGAGGCGAGUGGAAUUCCUGGUGUAGCGGUGGAAUGCGCAGAUAUCAGGAGGAACACCAACGGCGAAGGCAGCUCGCUGGGACGGUACUGACACUAAGGCGCGAAAGCGUGGGGAGCGAACAGG